CACAUGCCAGGGUAGUUUCCCAUGGUGCCCUCCGGGUUGGCAGGAGUGGGGUGGCUGGAGUGGAGGUAUGGGAGACUCAGGGGCUCACAGCAGCAGUUCUUUACCACCUGGCUUCCUCUCCCUUUUCCUUCCUUCAUUGUUGCUUUUAAUUUCCCACCAUUUUCUAACAAGUUCGCAAACCAAACUUCAAAACACACACAAGGGAGUGAUCCUCCUUCCUCUUCCCAUGUCCUUGGAGUUUUUCUACUUUGGGAAAAUAUAAGAAAAGAAACUGAACAGUUUACCUUCGAUUGGCAUCAUAUUAGGGGAAGAAAAUGUUAUUAAACCAAUUAAAUAUAAGCUAUUGUUUAAUUAGGCCUCUAAAUUCUCAAAACCAUCCUUCGUAUUGAUCUUUACUGGACCAGGCCAUAUGGAACGCAUAUGUGAUACAAGUCCCUGAAGACUGACAAAUUCUUCCCUUCCUUCCUUGGUCUUCAACCCCAGAUCACUGGAGCCCUUUCUCCCACUUUGCCCUCCCUCUGCCCCAGGAAGCCAAUCUCUACAGACCAGCAGCAUCUUUGCUGGGAGCAGCUGCAGGAAUCAUCAUUGCUUAGAGCUCUGGAUAUUUCCAAUCUAGUUUGACAUGGUUGACCCCUAGUUCAUCAUCUGCCCAUGCUGCGGCCCACAUCUUAGAGAGGAACAGUGAUGGUGGUGUGAGGUGAUGGGCUGCCUUCUUUUGUGUGGCACAGAUACAGGAGACCACUUGGGAUACCAUCAUUGUGUAUUUCUAUUUCCCAUCUUCUCUGGGCAUCAAUUCAAAAUACCCAAAGACUGGGCUGGUCCUUGCUGUUUCAACCUUAAGCUAAUAACACCAAGCUCAUGGGUUUUUUAAUUGGACCAUGCUAAUUAGUUUCAAUACAAGAAAACCCUCUGGUCUGUGGCCGCAGAUCCAUUCUCAGUGUUGGCCAGACAUUUCACAAGGGUUUCCUGGUCUUUCAGGGGAUUUGAAGACAGAGGGGUCUGGCUUGUAGAGUCUAUCCUGAUUCCUGGAGAAACAUCCUGAAAAUGUGUCCCUUUGAUGGGGAUCAUUUUUUUGUGAUCUGGAUGGCCCUUCACAGUAGAGAAAGUGUGUGCUGCCCAGAGUAGGAGAACAAAACCCUUCACCCUUGUCUUCCCUCCUCUCCCUUUUACUGGUCCUUUUUUGGUCCAGAAAAUGCAAACCGGAUGCCAGGAAGUUGAACGCAGUUUUAAGUUGUAGUUUGGCCAGCAUAGUUUUUGAACUUGAGCUUGAACUUGAAUUUAAAGUCUGGUGUGUGUAUCUAGCUAGGCCACGAUUCACAUAUGUGCUACCUUCUUGGCCCCCGGGGUCAUUUGAGUUUGUUGGCCCUGUAAAGUUGGUGUUAGGAAAUGUCUGGUCAAUCAAAUCUAUUUGUUCAUGAGUAAAGCUCAUGACCUCUUUUUAGGACACAUUUGAAGAUCAUGGAAAAUGUCUUUUUAUCUGGAAAGGCUGCCUGUUAUCAGAAAACAUCAGCUGACUAGGCCAGAAAGCAAUAUCCCCUGACUGAGGGCUUCCAUGGUGUGACCACCUCAGGGCAAAUAAUACAGUGUUCAUGGGUCCCUGGAGUCAGGCAAGGGGGACCUGUGGUUUAAAAGAGUUCUUGAGCUCUGGGACUUUGGAUCUGUUCUGAAUGUUCCUCUUCUGCCCUGGUUAUGCUAACACCUCAUACCCACUUAGCGAGAGUGGGUGACCAAAGUCAAGACCAUAAUCUGAAGAGAUGAACACGAAGCUGUUCAGACAGGAUGCCCUGCUUGGGACUUGACCUGGAUUGGGGCAGAAUCCAGGAGCCCCAUGCCUGAGGAGAAUGCACCACAAUGGCCGAGGCCCAAGAAGAUGUUGUCGGGUUGGUGGAGACCUUCAGUUGUCAGCCCAGCUGCACAGCCUGCCCCACCCUGACUGAGGCCUCACUGAGCACUGUCCUUCCCUCAUUUUGUCUCUCUCCACAAUCUUUCCAUCUGGGUGGGGAGAUGCUAGCUUGACAUCAGCCUGGCUCUUUAUCCUCAAUUUCUCCCAGUGUAGCCAGGGCGAGCAAUUCAUCUCAAAAGCUCAAACCAACCUGUGUUUGCCUUCCCGACCUCGAGACUAUUUUAAUCUUGUAAACGGUAAUGAUGUGUGUGGGGAACAAUUUUGUUGUUUACUGAAGCAGUUGAGUGAUAAUUGCAGAGAAAGGAGAAAGCGGAAGGCUUUUCCCACAGACUGUAUUUCUUGCUGUCUUUCUCUAUGCUAAUAAGGCCCCAGUGUUAUGUCUUGUGAAGCCAGAAAGGAGCACAAUAGGGGACGGGGACAGGGAGAGGCCAGCCUAAGGAACAGCCUGGACCCCAAUCCCAGAGAGGAGGAAAGGGAAUUGGACAGUCUCAGUGCUGGCUGUCAGGCGGGUACAGUGUAUGGAGCUUGUGAAGUGCAAAUAGGUGUCUGCCCACAAGAUGGGGUUCCGGUCCUGCAGGCAGCUUUCCAAAUAAAGCCAGGAGUGGAAGUUUCCGCCCGAACUUUUUUUUUUCCUCCCUCACAACAUGAAAAGAAUGAAGAUAGACCAAAUGGAACAAACAGAAUGAUUUUUAUUAUUUUAUUUCUUUUACCUUUUUAGGUUAAACCGUUUGUCCAUUUUAUUUCUUUGUGACCAUAGUUCAUUAAGUAUUCAUCAGGCUCAAAGUAUCAACACAUAGUUCUCUUUAAUAAUGCAUACCCCUUAAAUUAGCCUCUUUUCACUGCCAGAUAGAGAAUUUGUUUAAUUCAUUUUUUAUUGUAUAUACUUAAGGUUACAACAUGAUGUUUUGAUUAUACGUGUCCAGCUGUCUCUCCAUAUCUGCAGAGGUUGUUUCCGGGACCCCUGAGGAUACCAAAAUCCACGGAAGCUCAAGUCCCUUAUAUAAAAUGAUGUAUAAUUUGCAAACCUACACAAUCCUCCUAUGUACUUAAAGUCAUCUCUAGAUCGCUUGCUUAUAAUAUCUAAUACAAUA
rnacentral:lncRNA from 1 species